GCCAUGACAGCUUCCCUCAGCAACGCUGAAGUUCUCAGCACUGCAAUCAAGCACCAUUUGUAUGACCCCUAUCGCACAAGCACCAUGAACGGCAGCAUGCCCCAGCCCCACAGGAAACAGAACCCAACUGACCAAACAUACCAGCAGCACUUCGCAAGGUUAGCAAAUGCUCCAUGAGAUGCUUUACUGUGGAACUUUCCUGCCAUUGAG